rnacentral:rRNA from 1 species
AUUGAACGCUGGCGGCAUGCCUUACACAUGCAAGUCGAACGGCAGCACGGGUGCUUGCACCUGGUGGCGAGUGGCGAACGGGAGAGUAAUACAUCGGAACGUACCUUAUCGUGGGGGAUAACGCAGCGAAAGCUGUGCUAAUACCGCAUACGCCCUGAGGGGGAAAGCGGGGGAUCGCAAGACCUCGCGCGAUUAGAGCGGCCGAUGCCUGAUUAGCUUGUUGGUGGGGUAAAAGCCCACCAAGGCGACGAUCAGUAGCUGGUCUGAGAGGACGAGCAGCCACACGGGGACUGAGACACGGCCCAGACUCCUACGGGAGGCAGCAGUGGGGAAUUUUGGACAAUGGGGGCAACCCUGAUCCAGCAAUGCCGCGUGAGUGAAGAAGGCCUUCGGGUUGUAAAGCUCUUUUGUCAGGGAAGAAACACCGGCUCUAACACAGUCCGGGAAUGACGGUACCUGAAGAAUAAGCACCGGCUAACUACGUGCCAGCCGCCGCAGUAA